CAGGCAUGGUUGAUGCAUUCUGUAAAACAACUCGGAAUGAGGGACUUAGAGUAUUAUACCUGUUUGGUACUCGACUAUAAGGGAAAUUUGAUUUGAGAUGCAACUGAGCUGCUUGCCUGCUUCUUGAGUAGUAUAUUAUGCUGCUGGUGAGGAGAACCAACUCGAGCAAUGGGAAAGGAAUGAAGGAGUGUGAAUGUACAGCAAGAAGAGUUUUAGAUGCAAGUCCUUUGGUUUAUAUUGCUUAAAACAACUCAAAUCUCCAAGAUACUUUUAGGUGAGCUCCACUGAUGUGUUUGCUUGAAGCUGAAGGACCUUGAGCCAUUUAAAGUGAAGGAUGUAUGACUGAAAUUGCUGAAGGAUUUGGAUGUCCAACAACUUGGUGGAUUGGUUUAAAAAUAGGACACAAACGUAUAAUUGUUUCUUACCAUUUUAUUGUGAUUGUGACCAUGGUUGAAUCUCCGUGAACUAAAUUUUAUUCGUAGGUCCUUGUAUAUAUAUAUAGCUUUUUGGUGUGGUGCUGCUGCUCUAGCGUAAAAUAUGGGUGCUUCAGAAUUAUCUAAAUCUUGAACGGAGCAUUGGUGUAACUUAUCUCCAGCGAUGCAGUAACAGAAAGAUGGUAGGCCUUACUAUACUAAAUCAAUCAGGUAGUAAGAUUACGAGGAGAUUACAUGAAAUAACCAAACAGUUUGCAGAAGAGUUAGCAAGGGAUCGAGCUGCUAGAAAAAUGUUAGAACUUGAAUGAUCCAUGGUGUGAUAAUUCGUUGGUGGGAUUUCAGUUUCAUACUUAAAGUGCUGUUGUUAAGUCUGUCAUUAUCAAUAAUCAUUUUGUGCAGGUAUGUGAUAUAUUAUGCAGUAAG